rnacentral:piRNA from 1 species
AGAUGAGUGGAUCUUGGGCCAGA